GAUGAACGCUGGCGGCGUGCCUAAUACAUGCAAGUCGAGCGAACAGAUAAGGAGCUUGCUCCUUUGACGUUAGCGGCGGACGGGUGAGUAACACGUGGAUAACCUACCUAUAAGACUGGGAUAACUUCGGGAAACCGGAGCUAAUACCGGAUAACAUAUUGAACCGCAUGGUUCAAUAGUGAAAGGCGGCUUUGCUGUCACUUAUAGAUGGAUCCGCGCCGUAUUAGCUAGUUGGUAAGGUAACGGCUUACCAAGGCAACGAUACGUAGCCGACCUGAGAGGGGGGACCGGCCACCGUGAAACGAGAACACGGUCCAGACUCCUACGGGGGGCCACAGUGGGGAACUUCCCGAAAGGGGCGAAACCCUGACGGAGCAACGCCGCGGGAGUAAGAAAGGUCUUGGGAUCUUAAACCUCUUUUUUGAGGGAAAAACAAAGGUUUAAGAAAGUGGGCAACUCUGGACGGGCCCGGAGCAGAAACCCCGGGCAAACGACG
rnacentral:rRNA from 1 species